AGCGACGCUAUAAAUUUGGCAAAGAGAUAAUCCAGUAAUCAUUUUCCUGCUCAAACCUAUCAGUAGUAAUCGAGUCUCUGAGAGAGAGAGAGAGAGAGAGAGAGAGUGCACUGCAAUGGAAGAUCAACCCAAGCAAUCGAGUUUGUCCGUCCCUGGAGCCUCUAGUUCCUCCACCUCAACAGAAAGAAGUGAUUCCGGGCCACCUGCUUCCGACGACAUCGGGCAGGAGACGUCGGAUCAACAGCAACAGGUACUUUCCCCCCGCCAUGAAAGAGCAAAAGGAAAGGCCCCCUUUGAUUCCUUGGAACCUGCAAUGGAAGAUCGACAACCCAAGCAAGCUAAAUUGAUUGAAGCUUCGAGUUCGUCCAUCUCUGUGAUUGUGAACAAUUACUACAUAUUCUUGAGCUUUAGAGGCGCUGACACUCGCAAUGGCUUCGUCGAUCACCUCUACCAUAAACUCCAAGAGGUGGGCCUGCCGCUCCAUCCAAACUUCGAGUUGAAAGAUGAGAACGACCAUCCCUGGGACUUGGACUUUGGUAAAAAGCUUAUCAGUGCAAUCAGGCACUCUAAAGUUUCAAUCCCAGUCAUCUCGGAAACGUAUGCAGCUAGCGAAUUGUGCCUCCGUGAGCUCAUUGAGAUAAUGGCGUGCAAGAAAACCGGGGGACAAAUAGUCUUGCCCGUGUUUUACAAGGUGAAACCCCAUGAGGUGCGAGACCUGGAGGGGGCCUUUGGAGAGGCUUUCAGAUCCCGUAGGCAAUGUUUUGAGUGGGAGGAUGUCGAGCAAAAAGGGCCGGAAGCACUCCAAGAAGUAGUUGAUUCUAGAACAUUUGAAUCAGAGAAACUUACGAGAGGGCGUGAGGCAGAAUUAGUGAAUAAACUCAUAGAAAGAAUAAGGCUCGAGCAGCAACAUGAUUCUCAACCACAUCUUCCCGUCAACUCAGUUGAAAUUGAGGAUACUGAAGUCUCUAGAUCCUCGACCUCACCAGAAGGAAGUAAUUCUGGGCCAUCUGCUUCGUCCACCUCUGUGAUUGGAAACAAUUACUACAUAUUCUUGAGCUUCAGAGGCCCUGAUACUCGCAGUGGCUUCGUGGAUCACCUCUACCAUAGACUCCAAAAUGUCGGCCUGAAGUUCCAUCCAAACUUCGUGUUCAGAGAUGAUAAUGACCUCGCCUUCGGCAAGGACAUUGGUAACAAUCUUACCAGUGCAAUCAAGCAGUCUAAAUUUUUACUCCCAGUUAUCUCAGAAAAGUAUGCUUCCAGCGAAUGGUGCCUCCGCGAGCUCAUUGACAUAAUGGACUGCAAGGAAUCCAAUGAACAAAUAAUCUUGCCCGUGUUUUACAAGGUGAAACCCUAUGAGGUGCGAGAACUAAUGGGGAACUUUGGAAAGGCCUUCGAAGAAAGAAAGCAUCGCUUUAAGAUGGAGGAUGUCAAGGAAAAAGGGCCGGAAGCGCUCAGAAAAGUAGCUGAUUUAAGAACAUUCGAAUCAGAGAAAUUUGAAAGCGGGCACGAAGGGAAAUUAGUAGAAGAACUCGUAAAAAUAAUAACAGACGAGCUGCGACGUGAUUUUCCACACCCUCUUCCUGCGGACUUGGUUGGAUUCGAUAAUCAUGUGGCUGAGGUUACGAGAUUGGCAGAUACUGCUUCUUCCGAAGUUCAAAAUAUUGUGAUUUAUGGAAUUGGUGGCAUCGGUAAGACAACUCUAGCUACGCACGUCUAUCAUAAGCUUUUGGACGAUUUUAAAUACCACAGCUUUAUCAAGGAUACAAGAGAAACAAUUCAAAGCAAGGGCAUAGUGCAUGUUCAAUCUCGACUAUUGUCAGAUAUGACAGAUACUAUUGUUACAGUGCCUGAUCCCGAUAGAGGGAUCAACAUGAUACGAGCAGCUUGUGCUAAGAAAGUACUUAUUCUUCUUGAUGACGUGGCUUGUCAAGACCACAUCGAUAAAUUGAUUGGAGGCUGUAAUUUUGGGGCAGGAAGUAGGAUCAUUAUUACAUGUCGAGAUAAGGAUCUCUUGAAGCCUGAAUACAAAGGGUAUGAACUCACAGAAAUGAAUAUGCAAGACGCUUUGCUUCUGUUUAGGAAAUAUGCAUUCAAAGGGGAACAAACUCCAAUAGAACUCGUCACUCUUUCUAGUGAUAUUGUUGCCACCACAGGAAGGAUUCCCCUAGCUCUCGUGAUUAUAGGUUCAUUUCUCAAUAGAAAAGAUAAAAGCAUAUGGACAGAGACGCUGGAGAAAUUGAAGAAGGUGCCUCAUAUUGACGUACAACAAAAGUUGAGGAUAAGUUACGAAUCAUUAGGAUAUGAGGAACAGCAAAUGUUUCUAGACAUAGCAUGCUUUUUCAUUGGAAUUGACAAAAGAAUUGUUGCCUAUCUGUGGAAGGAUCUUCAUUAUCGCGUAGAUUCCGGAUUCAAAAGAAUGAUGGAACUUUCGUUAAUGAAAGUUGAUGAUAACAAUGAGUUGAGAAUGCAUGAUCACUUAAGAGAUCUAGGUAGAGCUAUUGCUCGUCCAGCACAUAAAAAGCUUUGGAAAUGUAGCAGACUAUGGGACGAGGAAGCCAUAACUGUUCAACGAAGCGAGAUGGAGAGGUUGAAAGUUCUUAAUCUUUCAAAGUGCUCAGCUUUGGAGAGCACUCCUAAACUCUCUAAGUUUCAAAGUCUAGAGAUGCUAAUCCUGGAAAAUUGCGACAGUUUGGCAGAAAUCGACCCUUCCAUCGGAGAUGUCAAGCGCCUCGUUUCCUUGAACUUGAGGUAUUGUGGGAGUCUUCAGGUGUUACCGGCACAACUAGGCGAACUAAGAGAAUUGGAGGAACUUCUCGUAGACGAGACUGAUAUACAAGAAAUCCCUGAGUGUAUAGGAUCUCUGGUGAAGCUGAAGACGCUUAGUGCCGUGGGUUGCCGUCUACUGACUCGAGUUCCCAGCUCACUACGGCAUCUGGUAAAUUUGUUGACCCUGAACAUGAAAAACUGUAAAAUUUUGCCACAACUUCUGGACUCCUUCCAGGCCCUUGGGGGACUGCAGCGCUUGUCGUUAGAGUAUUGCUGCAAGUUGGGACGGAUCCCUCCUUCAAUUGCGAAGUUGGGAGAGUUGUUUGAGCUGGACUUGUCACAUACAAUUAUUGACGAACUACCCGAAUCCAUGGGGGAAUUGAAGAAAUUGAAAAUUCUGAGGAUUUCCCAUAGUAAGAUUAAAAAGUUGCCGAGGGCCAUUGGAGAAUUGAAAAGCCUCCAAGAGUUGCAUGCCUCAGGCUGCUCUGAACUGGAAGGACAAAUUCCUCGAGAAAUAAGUGGAUUGUCUUCUCUAAAGACCCUUCGUUUAGGUGGAAAAAAGAUUUCUGGCUUGCCGGAAAACUUCCGUGAGCUUUCUUCUCUCGAGAACCUCAAUUUACUUGGCUGUGAGCAGCUUCAGUCACUGCCAGAACCUCCUUCCCGCUUAUCAUCCCUGCAGCUCACCUGCCGGAGCGACAAGCUGCCGUCGCUCUCUCACCUAACGCAUCUGAAGGAGCUCACUCUUGACUCUUGCAUGUCUCUUCAAAGCAUCCCGGAGCUUCCCUCCUGCAUCUGGAAGCUCCGCGUUCAGAUGUGUCCCAAUUUGGAAAAGUUGUCGAUUCUUCCCGAGUGGAAUUCCUUGUCCGAGUUAGAGCUCUUGCAGUGCUACGGGCUGAAGGAACUGGAUGGUCUGGAAGCUUUAACAUCCCUAAGAAUGUUGAACCUAUCCAUAAGCACAGACUUGUCCGACGUCAACAACUUUGACAAUUUAGAUCGGGUGAGUUCCUCGGACACGCGCAGCUUCGUUUUUAAAAAGGUGGAUAAUCUCCAUGUGAUAGGAGGCCUUGAAAAAUUGGGAUCCCUGGAAGUGUUGAAUAUCUGUGAGCGCAAACACAUUGCACGACUGAACCUUUCAAAGUCGGAGCAUCUGAGGCAAUUGAUUGUUAAUAAUUGCCAAAGGUUAAUUGAAAUUCGCUUCCAUGACAAGAUAGAAUCCCUGGAACGCUUUGAGAGGGAUGGGUGCCCGCCACAAAUCACCACUCUUCAGCACUCGACAGGUCAUCGGAUAGCAUGCGAAAGUUAGGUUUUAUAUUUGAUAGUACUGGAAUACAAUUUGAGGGGAGCAACACCGAAAACAUUGAGCUGAGGAUUUUUUUUGUCGUGUUAUGAUUGGGGUUAUGAUGAGAAUAGAAAAGAUCAGGAUGACUCCAAAAGUGUAUUAGAUGUCUUCAGUCAAAUAGUAAGAGAUUCUUCAUCCUCGACAUGGUAUCAAUCUGCGCUUGUGUAUGCAAAUUAACACUUUUCUCCUACUUCUAUUGAAGUUGGUGUUCUUUCGAUAUGUGGUUGUCCCAUUUAUGCAGAAGGAUUCUGGAAACUGCUCGUGCAUUAGUGAUUAUUGAUUGCGUUUUAGUCAUUUGUUAUUUUGUCAUGGACAUUAAUGUUAAGAUGAUGAAUCUCCAUGGAUGUAUAUAAACUUUGCUGAUCACUUGAUAUGCCAACAUGAAGAUUGCUCUCUCCGAGGGAAGACAUAUGGCCUUGAUCAUGCUGAAAGCAUUAUUAUCAACGGUAGAAAACCCCGUUGAAAUCAUGUAGCCACUCUUUCCUUGUUUUACUUCAUGCCUUUACUAAUCA